GAGACAAGCAAACACACGGCUGUAGCUGUACGAGACAAGCACGUCACUGCACCGCAACAACCAGGUACGCUGUCCAACGGGAGCUGCGUUUGGUGGCAUUUAAGGCUCUGGAUACAGGGGAAGAGAAGUGAUGCUCAAGGCAUGAACAGGGAAGAAAUGAAACUGUGACAGCUCUGAAUGAAUAAGCAGGCUGUGUAUUUUAAAAGGGAAAAUUGAAAUGCCUGCGAAAUGUCCACACUCACCUGGAGGGAAACUUGCCAGUUCUUGCAAGCCUGGAUUUAUUUAGGGGUGAUGUUGAGGAUUUGCAGGGGUUUCGGUUUUUUUUAGAAAUGGGGCAGUGUGGCUUGCUACCAGUUUGCUAAGAGAUCACAGAAAACAUGAGAAACCAGCGGGGCCUGUGCAGCUGCUCUGUUCCCUCUGAUGCUGGCUGCACUGCUCCCAUGAUAUAAGCAAAGUCAACCCCGCCAGCGCUGCUUUUCAGUUUAAAGCUAAGUGUAUCUACUUCAGACCUUGCUGGGACAAAUUUUUUUGGCAUGAACAAGGCUUUCCCCACCAUCUUAAUGGAGAGCAGACUUGCUUUACAAAUGUUUUCAGGCAGAGCUAGCCAGGGUGGAUGGUGGAUCCUGUCGGUUGGCCUCGGAGAAGUGCCUGCAGCUUCUGCUGCUGGGUUUCCCUUUCCUCCUCUCCCCCCCCUUGUUGAAUGUUCCUGGCAGUUUUUAGCUGUGAUAAAAAGCUCAGAGGAAAUGACAAGAGCUGGAAAUAAUCUUGCUUUCAGCCUAAAACACGGGAAAGGGAAAGGUACUUGGAUUUUCACAACCUUCCCUCCUGUCGUCACACGCUCCUGGCUCCUCUACGGCAGGUGGGAUGUGAGGGGCCAUAGCAGCCUUUGCAGACAAUAUUUCUGGUCACUGAGUAUGAUGCCAAGUUGCAAUCCAAAAAGAAACCUGAAAAACACUUAUCUUUUACAAAGUUGCAUUUUGGGUUUUUUUUAAUAUUCCCUUAAAAUGGCAGCCCUGGUUUAAAUUUUGUGAACUGAGAAGUGGGGAGGAGGGGUCUGGUUUUUAAUUAGAAAAUGUCAAAAACAUGUUUGGACAAUUUUAAUUUACUUUUUCUACUCAGGUACAACCUGAGGCUUUUAAUUGCUUUUUAAAAUUGCCUCACUGUUCUGGAAUAACACUUAUUUCAACAAAAAAUACAAAGUCAGUCUGGUGAGAGGGUCCAGCCUACAAACAGGCUCAGGCUCUUUAGCUGCCCAGUGUGAUGCAGUGGGAUGAGGCCCUGGAGCCAGCACCCAGCAAAAGCUACAGGCUGGGAUGCAUUGCUCCUCCACGGUGCUCGGCCACAGCCUCAGCUCACCGGGGUGAUGUGGGAGACCUGGGGAGACGUGGUCAGGGGCUGCAGGAGAGGAGCGGCACGCAGGUGUCUGCACAAGUUUAGGUUGCCACAGAAGAGGUCCCAGCCCAAGAACCGUGGCUGGAGGAGAGGAGAAACCUGGACCCACCACCAGGACAACUUCACAGACAUUCUAGAAAGAUUUAUUUGGCAUCACAUAUGAAUCCAGGUAAAGCUGUAGGAUCAUGGACAUGCCCGUCUCUAGGAGCAACAGUUCCAACUGAAGUGGGCAACUCUCCCAGACCUUUAUUUUGGGAAAAGAAUAUCCUGGAUGUCCCUUUCCAGCUAAGAAAGCCUAUUUAUGAUGAUCACAAAGAAAAGAUCACAACAAAUCCUGGCAAAAAAGAGGAAGCAAGAAGAGCAA